rnacentral:rRNA from 1 species
GCUAGAAGAUGACGAGCGGCGGACGGGUGAGUAACGCGUAGGAAUCUGCCUAGUAGUGGGGGACAACAUGUGGAAACGCAUGCUAAUACCGCAUACGCCCUACGGGGGAAAGGAGGGGAUCUUCGGACCUUUCGCUAUUAGAUGAGCCUGCGUGAGAUUAGCUAGUUGGUGGGGUAAAGGCCUACCAAGGCGACGAUCUCUAGCUGGUCUGAGAGGAUGAUCAGCCACACUGGGACUGAGACACGGCCCAGACUCCUACGGGAGGCAGCAGUGGGGAAUAUUGGACAAUGGGCGCAAGCCUGAUCCAGCCAUGCCGCGUGUGUGAAGAAGGCCUUAGGGUUGUAAAGCACUUUCAGGAGUGAGGAAGGGUGUAUGGUUAAUACCCGUAUAUUUUGACGUUAACUCCAGAAGAAGCACCGGCUAACUCUGUGCCAGCAGCCGCGGUAAUACAGAGGGUGCGAGCGUUAAUCGGAAUUACUGGGCGUAAAGCGCGCGUAGGCGGUUUGUUAAGUCGGAUGUGAAAUCCCAGGGCUCAACCUUGGAAUGGCACCCGAUACUGGCAGGCUAGAGUACGGUAGAGGGGUGUGGAAUUUCCUGUGU